CUUCCUCUUCUACUUCUUCUCUACUCCUUGUUUUCUUUUCAUUCUUUACAUUCUUCACACCAUUUCUAUUUCAGAAUAGUUCGGUGUUGUUUAAGAAUAGCAAGUUGA